rnacentral:rRNA from 1 species
UCGAGAGGCUUCGGCAAUGGGGGAAACCCUGACCGAGCGACGCCGCGUGGGUGAUGAAGAUUCUCGGAUCGUAAAACCCUGUCAGGUGGGAUGAAAAACCAUUCGGUUAAUACCCGAGUGGCUUGACAGUACCACCAGAGGAAGCUCCGGCCAACUCCGUGCCAGCAGCCGCGGUAACACGGGGGGAGCAAGCGUUGUUCGGAUUCAUUGGGCGUAAAGAGCUCGUAGGCGGCUAGGUCCGUCCGAUGUGAAAGCCCCCGGCUCAACCGGGGAAUUGCAUCGGAUACAGCCUGGCUUGAGGACGGUUGGGGUGAGUGGAACUCCUGGUGGAGCGGUGAAAUGCGUAGAUAUCAGGAGGAACACCGGUGGCGAAAGCGGCUCACUGGACCGUUACUGACGCUGAGGUGCGAAAGCUAGGGGAGCAAA